GAUGGCGGCCACAGAUAGCUGGGUUCACCGGAUCCCGUUCCGAUCUCCGAAGUUAAGCCAACUAUCGUGAUAGGACAUGUGCGGUGCGCGAGCCCGUGACAGGCCUAUCAGCUGCCACAU
rnacentral:rRNA from 1 species